rnacentral:rRNA from 1 species
AUACGGAGGGUGCAAGCGUUAUUCGGAAUCACUGGGCGUAAAGGACGCGUAGGCGGGUUGGCAAGUCAGAUGUGAAAUCCUACCGCUUAACUGUAGAACUGCAUUUGAAACUGCUAACCUAGAGUAUGGGAGGGGGAGAUGGAAUUAGUGGUGUAGGGGUAAAAUCCGUAGAUAUCACUAGGAAUACCGAAAGCGAAGGCGAUCUCCUGGAACAUAACUGACGCUAAGGCGUGAAAGCGUGGGGAGCAAACAGGAGUAGAUACCCUAGUAGUCC